rnacentral:tRNA from 1 species
AAGACUUUAAGUUAAGAUAAAACUCGUAACCUUCAAAGUUAUAAAUAUCUAAGAUUUGUAGAUAAGUCUUA